rnacentral:lncRNA from 1 species
UCAGAAAGUCCUCUUUUUUGGGUUUUGGGUUUAUUGAGGGAUUUCAAUUUCGUUAGUAGCCAAAAACUAAAAUACACGGAAUUCCUCUUCUAAUUGGUAGUAAAACCCUAAACCAAUGUCUUAAAAAUAAAAAACAAUAAAGAAAAAUCCCCAAAAUUGGAAUACCCCAAACAAAAAUCCCCAAAAUCAAAACCCCUAACCCAAAAUCCCCAAAUUCGACCACCUAAACCAAAAUC